GAAUGCUGACAUAAGUAACGAUAAAGCGGGUGAAAAGCCCGCUCGCCGGAAGACCAAGGGUUCCUGUCCAACGUUAAUCGGGGCAGGGUGAGUCGACCCCUAAGGCGAGGCCGAAAGGCGUAGUCGAUGGGAAACGGGUUAAUAUUCCCGUACUUGGUGUUACUGCGAAGGGGGGACGGAGAAGGCUAUGUUGGCCGGGCGACGGUUGUCCCGGUUUAAGCGUGUAGGUGUGUGUUCCAGGUAAAUCCGGUUCACUUUAACACUGAGGCGUGACGACGAGGCACUACGGUGCUGAAGCAACAAAUGCCCUGCUUCCAGGAAAAGCCUCUAAGCAUCAGGUAACAUCAAAUCGUACCCCAAACCGACACAGGUGGUCAGGUAGAGAAUACCAAGGCGCUUGAGAGAACUCGGGUGAAGGAACUAGGCAAAAUGGUGCCGUAACUUCGGGAGAAGGCACGCUGACACGUAGGUGAAGUGAUUUACUCAUGGAGCUGAAGUCAGUCGAAGAUACCAGCUGGCUGCAACUGUUUAUUAAAAACACAGCACUGUGCAAACACGAAAGUGGACGUAUACGGUGUGACGCCUGCCCGGUGCCGGAAGGUUAAUUGAUGGGGUCAGCGCAAGCGAAGCUCCUGAUCGAAGCCCCGGUAAACGGCGGCCGUAACUAUAACGGUCCUAAGGUAGCGAAAUUCCUUGUCGGGUAAGUUCCGACCUGCACGAAUGGCGUAAUGAUGGCCAGGCUGUCUCCACCCGAGACUCAGUGAAAUUGAACUCGCUGUGAAGAUGCAGUGUACCCGCGGCAAGACGGAAAGACCCCGUGAACCUUUACUAUAGCUUGACACUGAACAUUGAGCCUUGAUGUGUAGGAUAGGUGGGAGGCUUUGAAGUGUGGACGCCAGUCUGCAUGGAGCCGACCUUGAAAUACCACCCUUUAAUGUUUGAUGUUCUAACGUGGACCCGUUACCCGGGUUGCGGACAGUGUCUGGUGGGUAGUUUGACUGGGGCGGUCUCCUCCUAAAGAGUAACGGAGGAGCACGAAGGUUGGCUAAUCCUGGUCGGACAUCAGGAGGUUAGUGCAAUGGCAUAAGCCAGCUUGACUGCGAGCGUGACGGCGCGAGCAGGUGCGAAAGCAGGUCAUAGUGAUCCGGUGGUUCUGAAUGGAAGGGCCAUCGCUCAACGGAUAAAAGGUACUCCGGGGAUAACAGGCUGAUACCGCCCAAGAGUUCAUAUCGACGGCGGUGUUUGGCACCUCGAUGUCGGCUCAUCACAUCCUGGGGCUGAAGUAGGUCCCAAGGGUAUGGCUGUUCGCCAUUUAAAGUGGUACGCGAGCUGGGUUUAGAACGUCGUGAGACAGUUCGGUCCCUAUCUGCCGUGGGCGCUGGAGAACUGAGGGGGGCUGCUCCUAGUACGAGAGGACCGGAGUGGACGCAUCACUGGUGUUCGGGUUGUCAUGCCAAUGGCACUGCCCGGUAGCUAAAUGCGGAAGAGAUAAGUGCUGAAAGCAUCUAAGCACGAAACUUGCCCCGAGAUGAGUUCUCCCUGAGACUUAGAGUCUCCUGAAG
rnacentral:rRNA from 2 species